CCUACGGGAGGCAGCAGUGAGGAAUAUUGGUCAAUGGACGAGAGUCUGAACCAGCCAAGUCGCGUGAAGGAUGACGGCUCUAUGGUUUGUAAACUUCUUUUAUAAGGGAAUAAAGGUAUCCACGUGUGGAUUUUUGCAUGUACCCUAUGAAUAAGCAUCGGCUAACUCCGUGCCAGCAGCCGCGGUAAUACGGAGGAUGCGAGCGUUAUCCGGAUUUAUUGGGUGUAAAGGGGGCGUAGACGGCGUUGUAAGCCAGGCGUGAAAGUCCGGGGCCCAACCGCGGGAUUGCACUUGGAACUGGGAGGCUGGAGUGCAGGUGGGGUAGGCGGAAUUCGUGGUGUAGCGGUGAAAUGCGUAGAUAUCAGGAGGAACCCCGGUGGCGAAGGCAGCCUGCUGGACUGCAACUGACGUUGAGGCCCGAAAGCGUGGGGAGCAAACAGGAUUAGAUACCCUGGUAGUC
rnacentral:rRNA from 1 species